rnacentral:rRNA from 1 species
CAAUAGCGUAUAUUAAAGUUGUUGCAGUUAGAACGCUCGUAGUCGGAUUUCGGGGCGGGCCGACCAGUCUGCCGAUGGGUACGCACUGGUCGGCGCGUCCUUCCUUCCGGAGACCGUUCCUACUCUUAACUGAGCGGGGGCGGGAGACGGAUCGUUUACUUUGAAAAAAUCAGAGUGUUUCAAGCAGGCAGCUCGCUCUUGCAUGGAUUAGCAUGGGAUAAUGAAAUAGGACUUUGGUGCUACUUUGUUGGUUUCGAACACCGAAGUAAUGAUUAAAAGGGACAGUCAGGGGCACUCGUAUUCCGCCGAGAGAGGUGAAAUUCUCAGACCAGCGGAAGACGAACUACUGCGAAAGCAUUUGCCAGGGAUGUUUNCACUGA